AUACUUACCUGGACAGGGUCAAUGGUUGAUCAAGAAGGGCCAUGGCCUAGGAAAAUGAUCUCCAUUGCACUUUGGAGGGGUGUUUUGCUAAGGUCUCCCCAAGUGGGAGAGCCUAUGUCAUAAUUUGUGGAAGUAGGGGCUUGCGUUCGCGCAGCCCCUGC